CUUCAUCAGCCUCUCCAGCCAGCUGUCUAUAAAAGCCGGCACAGCCAGAGGGAGAUCCAAACCAAAUCAUCAAAUUAAAACCCGGCACGAUCAAACCUUUGCUUCUACGCACCAGCUGUCUUGAGCAUCGUAAUACUAUACCAGCCAAGAGCGAGCUAGCUAGCUAGCUCCGAGAAUCUAGGAGAGGCAUAAUUAGAAGGAAUGGCGAGGAAGGCGGCCACGGAGAGCAAGAUGAGCUCGGACGAGGUUGCGAGGGCGGUGGCGGAGGCGGAGGCCCGGGAGGAGCGGCUGCGGCGGGAGCUGGAGGCGGCGCUGGCGCGGGUGGCGGUGGCGGAGGAGGCCGAGGAGCGGCUGUGCGUGCAGCUGGGCGAGCUGGAAGCAGAGGCCAUGGCGCAGGCCGUCGAGUACCAGCAGCACGUCAGGGAGCUCUCCGAGAGGCUCGCCUUCAUGGACGGCGUCCUCAGGUCCUCCGGCCUCCACGCCGUGGCCGCCGGCAUGGACUAGCUGUCCAUGUUCUCCUUCUUCCUUACUCCUUAAACUUACCUUGAGUAAGAAGGGUCAUGGCGAGACUGUACAGAUUUCUUCUUUUCCAUUUCUGCGAGGCUGGGCAACGCGUGUAUUUUCAUGUCAAACCUGUGCGUGGUGUGUGUACGUAGGAUGUACAUUUUUUCUUGAGACGCGUCAUUUGUGUAGUACUUAGUCCAAUUUAAUCUCUUCGAGAGCAUCAAAAUUAAUAUUGCCCUGAUCAUGUGUAAUAAUCUGUCUUUUUUUUA